UACGAAGGGGGCUAGCGUUGCUCGGAAUCACUGGGCGUAAAGGGUGCGUAGGCGGGUCUUUAAGUCGGGUGUGAAAGCCCCGGGCUCAACCUGGGAAUUGCAUUCGAGACUGAAUAGCUAGGGUACGGUAGAGGGAAGUGGAAUUUCCGGUGUAGCGGUGAAAUGCGUAGAUAUCGGAGGGAACAUCAGUGGCGAAAGCGACUUCCUGGACCAGUACCGACGUUCAGGCACGAAAGCGUGGGGAGCAAACAGG
rnacentral:rRNA from 1 species